rnacentral:tRNA from 1 species
GGAUAUGGCUCAGUGGUAGAGCAUUUGCCUAGCAUGUAUAAGGUCCUAGGUUCAAUUCUCAGCUCCA